GUUUGAUCCUGGCUCAGGAUGAACGCUGGCGGCGUGCCUAAUACAUGCAAGUCGAACGAGGUGCUUUUGUAGCAAUACGAAAGUAUCCUAGUGGCGAACGGGUGAGUAACGCGUUGGUGACCUACCCCAAAGUGUGGGAUAACAGUUCGAAAGAACUGCUAAUACCGCAUGUGGUUAUCGGGUUUAGAAACUGAUAACUAAAGGAGCAAUUCGCUUUGGGAGGGACCUGCGUCCCAUCAGCUAGUUGGUGAGGUAACGGCUCACCAAGGCUACGACGGGUAGGGGACCUGAGAGGGUGACCCCCCACAAUGGAACUGAAACACGGUCCAUACACCUACGGGUGGCAGCAGUAGGAAUAUUGCACAAUGGGCGAAAGCCUGAUGCAGCAACGCCGCGUGUGCGAUGAAGGCCU
rnacentral:rRNA from 1 species